UUGGAGGGCAAGUCUGGUGCCAGCAGCCGCGGUAAUUCCAGCUCCAAUAGCGUAUAUUAAAGUUGUUGCAGUUAAAAAGCUCGUAGUUGAACUUCGGGGUCUACCCAUUGGUCAGGCUUAAUUGUCUGCACUGGUGAGAUGGAUCUCUACCUUCUGAGGAACUUUCAUGCCAUUUAUUUGGUGUGAUGGGAAAUCAGGACUGUUACUUUGAAAAAAUUAGAGUGUUUAAAGCAGAC
rnacentral:rRNA from 1 species